rnacentral:ncRNA from 2 species
CCAUCUGAACCCAUGCAUGGUACCCGAUGAACGGCGCAAAGCGUCCACGGGUCAAAUGGGAAUGCGGAAAUGGGGGAUCCAAUCAGGGACCCAAAGCCGCAGCCGCCCCCGCGACUGUAAGCGGCGAGCGUUUGGCACCAAGUCACUGGAUCGUAAGGUCUGGGAAGACGCCAAAAUGCUUCGACCCGCGAGCCAGGAGACCAGCCUUGCAUGUGAAUGACCA